GCCUGGGUGGUUCAGUGGGUUAAGCCUCUGUCUUCCACUCAGGUCAUGAUCCCAGGGUCCUGGGAUCGAGUCCCAGUUCGGGCU
rnacentral:tRNA from 1 species